AACGAGAUAAUCUAAAUUUAAGGUGUUGGAUUGUAGCUCCAAACAUGAAAUAAUAUUUUCUCUCGUGA
rnacentral:tRNA from 1 species